rnacentral:lncRNA from 1 species
GCCAGUCGCUGCAGGGUUAUAACUUUUAGAAGUUUCAUUCUCUUCCCACUGGCUGAGAGUUUCAGAAAAAUCCCUGCUUAAGUAAUCAUGAUAAUCCUUUCAAAUUCCUUAGGGGCUGAGACCUUCAGUGUUCCCAUUUGAGUUCUGUAAAACAACAACAACAACAAAAACCAAGGAGAAAGAAGACAGGGAGCGAAGGCAGCCUUAAUGGGGAGCACCGCCACACGUCUCCCUGGAAACUUGCCUCCUUGACGUGGGUGCCCAGAUCCACUUCCAAAGUGUGGCCACUAGUUGCUGAGAAACGGUACUGCCAGGCCUGGAUGGUAGCCAGGAUGGAAAGAUCAAAGAGAAGCCAGGAAGGCUGCUGCCGGAAGUGAAUGCAUGCUUGGCUGCAGUGGUGCUGGUCCGCUGACUCCAGUUCAUGGCUGGCUGAUGGAGCCCUGCACGCUGAGGCUAAGGCGGCCUCCUCCCCUCUCUGCACUUUGGUGAGCUGAGGAACACUGUGGUGUCCUGGGCCUUUACCUCUGACGUUCUGGCAUUUUCUUUGAGGCGGGAAGUAGCCGGGGUUCUAAUCCCCAAGACUGGACGUAACUGGAUGCUUGCAAAAGACGGCUUUUGAUUGGCCGGCCAGCUUGGAUGUUUAUGGCUCUUUUUGCAGCUCCUUAAAGCUGCUGUGAUGAACAGCUUAGGCUUUGCCUGUCCAGCAUUCCGUCUCCUCCUGGCUGCAGAAGUGGAAUGAAUGGAGCACUCGAACCUGUUCUCUCACCCAACCCUGGCCACAAUGUUUGCUUCAGAGGUAGAUGUGUGACCUGAGGUCUCAGAAAAAUUCUGGAGCUUGCUGUUUUUAGUGGAAAAGAGAAUCACACUUUCUACUGGGGUUGGCAAAAGAUAGGCUGUUAGAUCUGGCUGAUUGGCAGCCCAAGAAUGGAACCAACAACAACAGAACUGAGCCAAGGGACAGUCUUCAUUGUUUGAGUUCCUGGAUCCAGUUGAACCUGAAGCUAGCCCUGUCCCUGGGUGUUUCAGUUAUAUGUACCAAUAAAUUCCCUUUCUUUACAUCACUUUGGUUUUGUUUUGCCUUGAGACAGGGUCUCA